AAUGGGAUUGCUAGGUCAAAUGCUAUUUCUGGUUCUAGGUCUUUGAGGAAUCACCACACUGUCUUCCACAAUGGUUGUACUAAUUUACAUUUGCUGGUGCUGUUUUCUACAUUGAAUCUGAGGGCUACUGUAUGAUGUGUAAGACACUUUCUGAUUGGAGCCUCACAAUGAUCCUACCAGCACCUAUAGCCUUGUCGCUCUCCCCAACACUCUGCUGAGACUGUUGUCACCAAAAACACUAUUGUCCGGCUCCCUGUUGAAAGGACCGACUCUCAGGAGAUGAAGAUCCAAUCACUCUAUCAAAGAAUAUGAGCAUUUCCGAGGCUCUUGUAAG
rnacentral:lncRNA from 10 species